UCUUUUCGCUGUUGCGGGCGGCGUGGGGGCCGCCGCGGCAGGAGAGAGACGCUUUCCUUUUUUUAUUUUUUUUCCCCGUGCGUUCACUUCCGGGUCCGGCGCCGAUCCGGAUGCCCGAGGCAGAAGGAUGUUUGACCUCCGGAUAAGCGAGGCGCUGCUGUGCAUUCAUUCCCGGCUGCAUCGGUGGCGGCAGCAGCGGCCCGGGCGGCGACUCUCCAGCCACAGGCGGCGGUAGGAGGCACCGGCAGGAGUGCAGGGACCCAGCGCGAGCCGAGCUGCGUUACCUCCCUUGCUCGGUCCUUCCCCCCCUACCUCGCUCGCUCCCUCCCUGCGUGGCUCGCUUUCCUCCUCCGGCCGCCGGCGGGUGUGAUGUGCCGCCGCCGCCGCUGCCCCCGCCGCCGCUGACUGACGGACCGGGGGCGCCGCCCGCGCCCGGACCGACCCCGCUGCUCGCGGCCGCGCCUCUGAGUCCCCAGAGGAGAAUGCAGCCUAGCUGAUACCAUGAAUGAAGCCUGUGAAAACUCAAGCAAAUGACUCAGCUGAGCCAUAUCCAGACUUCUGAUCCAUGGAAACUUUUAUGGACAGUUUCCUGAAUGUGGUGAACUAGAUGGAGUAAGGUAG